rnacentral:tRNA from 1 species
UCCCUGAUAGCUCAGUUGGUAAAGAAUCUGUCUGCAAUGCAGGAGAUCCAGGUUUGAUUCCUGGGUCGGGAA